rnacentral:rRNA from 1 species
GAAAGUAAGAAAGGGCGUAUGGCGGAUGCCUAGGCUCACGGAGGCGAUGAAGGACGUGAUAAGCUGCGAUAAGCUUCGGGUAGGUGCAAAUAACCCUUGAUCCGGAGAUUUCCGAAUGGGACAACCUAGCCGUCUGAAGGACGGUUACUAGCACUUAAGUGUUAGAGCUAACGCAGGGAACUGAAACAUCUUAGUACCUGCAGGAAGAGAAAAUAAAUGAAUGAUUCCCCCAGUAGUGGCGAGCGAACGGGGAACAGCCCAAACCGUUGACGUCGCAAGGCGCCAGCGGGGUUGUAGGACCGCGACAUUGUAUGCAAAUCGUGAACAGAACACUUUGGAAAAUGUGACCAUAGACGGUGAUAGUCCAGUAUGUGAAGCGAAAUGCAGCAUAGCGGUAUCCUGAGUAACGCGGGACACGAGGAAUCCUGCGCGAAUCUGCCGGGACCAUCCGGUAAGGCUAAAUACUCCCGUGAGACCGAUAGCGAACGAGUACUGUGAAGGAAAGGUGAAAAGAACCCCGAGCAGGGGAGUGAAAUAGUUCCUGAAACCAUACGCCUACAAGCGGUCGGAGCAUCUUACGAUGUGACGGCGUGCCUUUUGCAUAAUGAUCCUACGAGUUACCGUCACUGGCGAGGUUGAGUGUCACGAGACACGUAGCCGCAGUGAAAGCGAGCCUGAACAGGGCGCAUAGUCAGUGGGGGUAGACGCGAAACCAAGUGAUCUACACUUGGCCAGGAUGAAGUCCCGGUAACACGGGAUGGAGGUCCGCACCAAUAAGCGUUGAAAAGCUUCUGGAUGAGCCGAGUGUAGGAGUGAAAGGCCAAUCAAACUUGGAGAUAGCUCGUACUCCCCGAAAGGCAUUUAGGUGCCGCGUCGGAUGGUCACCGUGAGAGGUAGAGCGACCGAUAGGACAAGAGGGCUUCACCGCCUAUCGAGUCCUGACGAACUCCGAAUGCUCACGGUCUGCAGUCCGGCAGUAAGGGGGCGGGUGCUAAGGUCCGUCCCCGAGAGGAGAAGAAUCCAGACCGCCGUCUAAGGUCCCGGAGUUCUGCCUGAGUUAGUCUAACGAAGUCUGGUCCCUAUGACAGCUAGGAUGUUGGCUUGGAAGCAGCCAUUCAUUCAAAGAGUGCGUAACAGCUCACUAGUCGAGGGUCCGGGCAUGGAUAAUAAUCGGGUAUAAGGCAGACACCGAAGGCGCGGGAUAGCAUUUAAGAAAGUAUCGGUAGGGGAGCAUACUCACAGCGUGGAAUGGUGUACGUAAGUUAUCCUGGAGCGGUGAGUAAAGCAAAUGUAGGAAUAAGUAACGAUAAGGAGGGUUAGAUUCCCUCCCGCUGUAAGACCAAGGUUUCCCGGGCAAUGCCAAUCAGCCCGGGGUCAGUCGGGUCCUAAGUCUAAGCCGAACGGCGAUGGCGAUGGCAGAGACGGUUAAUAUUCCGUCACUGCCGCAUGGGGCGACGUGGAGACGGAGCAGUGAAACCACCGCGGGGCGACGGAAGUCCCCGUUGAAGAGUGUAGGUGUUGAGGAUGGCAGGCAAAUCCACCGUCCGAGCUGAACUUGAUAGUAUGGAGUCUUCUUCGGAAGAAUCCAAUAGUGUGGGUAAUCAUACUCCCGAGAAAAUCCGCUAAGCUUAACCCAUGCGGCACCCGUACCGCAAACGGACACACGUGGUCGGGUAGAACAUACUAAGGCGUUGAGAGAUUCAUGGUUAAGGAACUAGGCAAAUUGACCCUGUAACUUCGGGAUAAAGGGUCCUCGUGAUGAGCGAGGCGCAGAGAAUAGGUCCAGGCAACUGUUUAACAAAAACACAGGGCUGUGCAAACUCGAAAGAUGACGUAUACAGCCUGACACCUGCCCGGUGCCGGAAGGUUAAGAGGAGAUGUCACUCGCAAGAGGAAGCAUUGAAUUGAAGCCCCGGUAAACGGCGGCCGUAACUAUAACGGUCCUAAGGUAGCGAAAUUCCUUGUCGGGUAAGUUCCGACC